rnacentral:rRNA from 1 species
GACGAACGCUGGCGGCGUGCUUAACACAUGCAAGUCGAACGGAAACGCCCUGCUUUCUUGGGGUUCUCGAGUGGCGAACGGGUGCGUAACACGUGUGUAACCUGCUCUUGACUUUGGUAUAACUUCAGGUAACUGGGGCUAAUCCCGUAUAGCAGCCCCUGUUGCAUGGUGGGGGUUGGAAAGUUUAGGCGGUUGGGGUUGGACUCGCGGCUUAUCAGCUUGUUGGUUGGGUAGUGGCUUACCAAGGCUUUGACGGGUAGCCGGCAUGGGAGGGUGACCGGCGACAAGGGGACUGAGAUACGGCCCAGACUGCUACGGGGGACAGCAGUGGGGAGUAUGGCACAAUGGGAGGAAGCCGGAGGAAGCGACGCCGCGUGCGGGAUGACGGCCUUCGGGGAGUAAACCGCUGUAGCCUGUGACGAAGCGUGAGUGACGGUAAUGGGUAAAGAAGCACCGGCUAACUACGUG